GCAGAACCGGAUUCCCUACUAAUCUAAAUUUCAGAACACAGGAACUUUAGAAUACAUUAGUUUCCAUAAAGUAUAAGAUUUUUGAGGACAGAAACCUUUUAUUUACAUCUAAAUAUCCUGAAUGAAAACCAGUGCUGGCAUAAAAAUGUUUACAGAAUAUCUGAAUUAAUGAAAAGACUGAAUGAACAUCAUUAGUGAAAAAGAUAUAGGCUAUAUACCCAGCAUGGGGCUUGAACUCAACCUAGAAAUCAAGAUCUGAGCUGGUAUCAGAGUCCAAUGCUUAACUGACUGAGCCACACAGUUGCCACCAGGUACCCAAUGUAAGACUUUUUAAUAUUUAAGAAGAAAAAUCUUAUCAAAUUUUUUGGUUACAGCAAAAUAAUGCAAAGCAGCCAGACCAAACUACUUAUCUAAAAUUUUAGUAUUUUGCUUAAGGAAAGUUCACAUGAGUAUGUGUAGCUGUCUUCCAUGAAACUGACUUCAAAAGAUUCACAAGAAAAAAAAGAUUAGAAUGCCUCAAUAGAAAAAAAAUAUUACCUUGCCUUCGUAGUUCAUUCUUAACAGCUUCUACACCUCCUGUUUUUUCAAUGAAGUCAUAUAUAACUUUUGAUGUUUCUCGGUCUUUAAGUUGUGCCUCUGAGAUUCCACACAAAUCAAAAAGAUUCUUCAAUUCUGGAUCCAAAUUAUUCAGCUACAACAGAUA